rnacentral:rRNA from 1 species
AGCGAACGCUGGCGGCAGGCCUAACACAUGCAAGUCGAACGAACCCUUCGGGGUUAGUGGCGGACGGGUGAGUAACACGUGGGAACGUGCCUUUAGGUUCGGAAUAACUCAGGGAAACUUGUGCUAAUACCGAAUGUGCCCUUCGGGGGAAAGAUUUAUCGCCUUUAGAGCGGCCCGCGUCUGAUUACCUGGUUGGUGAGGUAAGGGCUCACCAAGGCUACGAUCAGUAGCUGGUCUGAGAGGAUGACCAGCCACAUUGGGACUGAGACACGGCCCAAACUCCUACGGGAGGCAGCAGUGGGGAAUCUUGCGCAAUGGGCGAAAGCCUGACGCAGCCAUGCCGCGUGGAUGAUGAAGGUCUUAGGGUUGUAAAAUCCUUUCACCGGUGAAGAUAAUGACUGUAGCCGGAGAAGAAGCCCCGGCUAACUUCGUGCCAGCCGCCGCCGUAAGAC